GUUUUAAAUAUAAGGUCUAACCUGCCCAGUGAUGUAAUUAAAUGGCCGCGGUAUUUUAACUGUGCUAAGGUAGCAUAAUCAUUUGUCUUUUAAUUGAAGGCUAGAAUGAACGGUUGGACGAGGUAUGUUCUUUCUUUAAUCUAAUUAUUGAAUUUAAUUUUUUAGUUAAAAAGCUAAAAUUUGUUUGAGGGACGAGAAGACCCUAUAGAUCUUUAUAUAUGGAUCUAUUAUAUAUUUUAGUAAAUUAGUUAUUUUAAUAUAUCUGUAUAUUUGAUUGGGGUGAUUGUAGAAUUUUUUGAACUUCUAUUUGUAGGUUUCAAAAAUUAUUGUUUAAUUGAUCCAUUAUUAGUGAUUAUAAGAUUAAGUUACCUUAGGGAUAACAGCGUAAUUUCUUUGGAGAGUUCAUAUCGAUAAAGAAGUUUGCGACCUCGAUGUUGGAUUAAAGUAAGAAGUGGGUGCAGGAGCUCAUUUGCUAGGUCUGUUCGACCUUUAAUUCUGUACAUGAUCUG
rnacentral:rRNA from 1 species